CGAGCCCCUCCCCCUUCAGGUACGAGCUCCGCCCCCGAGCCGUGACCGCAGCCGCCCGGGGGCUCCGGGGAUGGAGCCGGGCAGGGACGAGCGCAGAAGAGGCAGCGGAAGCGUGGGGAGCGUAAACCUUUACUGCCCGAUGCCCGGGGAAGGUGAACCCUCGGGGGGUCCCCCCGCCCGGCGCAGCCCCGGCAGUGCGAGCAGUGUAACCCCGCACCGGGGCUGUGCCCGCACAGCAGCACCUAAGGCUGUGCCUUGCCGUCCUUGCUGCGCCAGAUGACCAGGGUGACGAGGAAGGGGAUGAGGCAGAUGGGGGCGAUGAUCAUGGCCAGCAGUACGUCCUCGGGGGGGUCGAAGUAGGCCUGGCUGCCGGCCGAGCAGUUCUGGAAGUAGUGGUGGUGGCUCUGGAAAAUGUAGCUCUCAGCCAAGGCGUUGGGGUAACUGUAAUUCAGCAAGUCGGCGUGGUCCUCCAGGCACUUCUGCAGCGAGCUGUAGGGCCUGCAGAGAAACCGUGCGGCAUUGGGCUGCCCUCCACCCCCUGCCUUGGUGCCCCACCCGCCCCUACCUGCUGAUGACCUUCCACUCGCACAGCUGUGCGCCAGUCACGUUCUGCAUCACCUUCACGAAGGACUCCCAGCAGUAGUGCGUCAAGUUGGUGUAUAUCUCCUCCACCAGCUUCCCUGUAUGGUUGUAUGCAGACACCGGUGGGCUUGUUCUUGCCUCCUGCCUGAAGCCCUCAGCCGUGGCACCCACAUGGCAAAACUGAUGGCCCAGCAGUGCUGCAAGGGGGGGACAUGCUCAGCACUGCAGGAGGAAGAGCCACGGGUCUGCAGCAAUGAUGGGUAUGAGGAGGUCCAGAGGGGCAGUGGGGUGAUGGGAUGAAGGGUGAUGGGAUGACUGGGGACCACCAGCAGCAGCGGGGCCGUGCCAUGCCCAGCGCCUGGCACUUGGGGUGGGGAGCACCUAUUUCCAAUCGGGAAGAGGAAGUGCUGACCGCAGUGCAGAACAGCCAUGAAACAGAGCCUCUUGUCACCCCACCCCGUCUGUGGAACCCACUGCUGGCAUGGGGCAUGGCCCCCCAGGCCCCACCAGACCCCUCCACCCCUCUGCCAGGAUCAGGAUCGGUCCUGUCUGUUUUCAACCCUCAGCGUGGGCAUGGCACGCCACCCUGGUAGCUGCUUUGUUGUGGCCUGUGCUGGCUGGCAGUGUGCUGUGGGGAUGGCACAGCGGCUGUGUGCUGGCACAGUUGUGGCACCAAGGGCAACCCAUGUGCCCACAAUGCCCAGUCCCCUGGCCCUGGCAUGCUCCCUGCCCAGGGCACAGCUGCUCUCCCGCUGCCAUCGAGGCCAGGUCCCCGCAGACG
rnacentral:lncRNA from 1 species